UGGGGAAUAUUGGACAAUGGGGGGAACCCUGAUCCAGCCAUGCCGCGUGUGUGAAGAAGGUCUUCGGAUUGUAAAGCACUUUAAGUUGGGAGGAAGGGCAGUAAGCGAAUACCUUGCUGUUUUGACGUUACCGACAGAAUAAGCACCGGCUAACUCUGUGCCAGCAGCCGCGGUAAUACAGAGGGUGCAAGCGUUAAUCGGAAUUACUGGGCGUAAAGCGCGCGUAGGUGGUUCGUUAAGUUGAAUGUGAAAGCCCCGGGCUCAACCUGGGAACUGCAUCCGAAACUGGCGAGCUAGAGUAGGGCAGAGGGUGGUGGAAUUUCCUGUGUAGCGGUGAAAUGCGUAGAUAUAGGAAGGAACACCAGUGGCGAAGGCGACCACCUGGGCUCAUACUGACACUGAGGUGCGAAAGCGUGGGGAGCAAACAGG
rnacentral:rRNA from 1 species